rnacentral:rRNA from 1 species
GACGAACGCUGGCGGCGUGCUUAACACAUGCAAGUCGAACGGAAAGGCCCUGCUUUUGUGGGGUGCUCGAGUGGCGAACGGGUGAGUAACACGUGAGUAACCUGCCCUUGACUUUGGGAUAACUUCAGGAAACUGGGGCUAAUACCGGAUAGGAGCUCCUGCUGCAUGGUGGGGGUUGGAAAGUUUCGGCGGUUGGGGAUGGACUCGCGGCUUAUCAGCUUGUUGGUGGGGUAGUGGCUUACCAAGGCUUUGACGGGUAGCCGGCCUGAGAGGGUGACCGGCCACAUUGGGACUGAGAUACGGCCCAGACUCCUACGGGAGGCAGCAGUGGGGAAUAUUGCACAAUGGGCGGAAGCCUGAUGCAGCAACGCCGCGUGCGGGAUGACGGCCUUCGGGUUGUAAACCGCUUUCGCCUGUGACGAAGCGUGAGUGACGGUAAUGGGUAAAGAAGCACCGGCUAACUACGUGCCAGCAGCCGCGGUGAUACGUAGGGUGCGAGCGUUGUCCGGAUUUAUUGGGCGUAAAGGGCUCGUAGGUGGUUGAUCGCGUCGGAAGUGUAAUCUUGGGGCUUAACCCUGAGCGUGCUUUCGAUACGGGUUGACUUGAGGAAGGUAGGGGAGAAUGGAAUUCCUGGUGGAGCGGUGGAAUGCGCAGAUAUCAGGAGGAACACCAGUGGCGAAGGCGGUUCUCUGGGCCUUUCCUGACGCUGAGGAGCGAAAGCGUGGGGAGCGAACAGGCUUAGAUACCCUGGUAGUCCACGCUGUAAACGGUGGGUACUAGGUGUGGGGUCCAUUCCACGGGUUCCGUGCCGUAGCUAACGCUUUAAGUACCCCGCCUGGGGAGUACGGCCGCAAGGCUAAAACUCAAAGGAAUUGACGGGGCCCCGCACAAGCGGCGGAGCAUGCGGAUUAAUUCGAUGCAACGCGUAGAACCUUACCUGGGUUUGACAUGGAUCGGGAGUGCUCAGAGAUGGGUGUGCCUCUUUUGGGGUCGGUUCACAGGUGGUGCAUGGCUGUCGUCAGCUCGUGUCGUGAGAUGUUGGGUUAAGUCCCGCAACGAGCGCAACCCUUGUUCACUGUUGCCAGCACGUUAUGGUGGGGACUCAGUGGCGACCGCCGGGGUCAACUCGGAGGAAGGUGGGGAUGACGUCAAGUCAUCAUGCCCCUUAUGUCCAGGGCUUCACGCAUGCUACAAUGGCUGGUACAGAGAGUGGCGAGCCUGUGAGGGUGAGCGAAUCUCGGAAAGCCGGUCUCAGUUCGGAUUGGGGUCUGCAACUCGACCUCAUGAAGUCGGAGUCGCUAGUAAUCGCAGAUCAGCAACGCUGCGGUGAAUACGUUCCCGGG